rnacentral:rRNA from 1 species
ACGCUCGACACCUACGGGAGGCAGCAGUAGGGAAUCUUCCACAAUGGACGCAAGUCUGAUGGAGCAACGCCGCGUGAGUGAAGAAGGUCUUCGGAUCGUAAAACUCUGUUGUUAGAGAAGAACACGAGUGAGAGUAACUGUUCAUUCGAUGACGGUAUCUAACCAGCAAGUCACGGCUAACUACGUGCCAACAGCCGCGGUAAUCUGAGCGGGCUGGCAAGGC